AUACGGAGGGGGCUAGCGUUGUUCGGAAUUACUGGGCGUAAAGCGCGCGUAGGCGGGUUGGCAAGUUGAAGGUGAAAUCCCAGGGCUCAACCCUGGAACUGCCUCCAAAACUGCCAGUCUUGAGUUCGGAAGAGGUGAGUGGAAUUCCUAGUGUAGAGGUGAAAUUCGUAGAUAUUAGGAAGAACACCAGUGGCGAAGGCGACUUCCUGGGCCAAUACUGACGCUGAGGUGCGAAAGCGUGGGGAGCAAACAGGAUUAGAAACCCCAGUAGUCC
rnacentral:rRNA from 1 species